GCAGCGAGAGGGGCCGCGGUCCGCCCGCCCGCCGCACAUCUGCUGGCGGAGCCGAGGCUGGAAGGCACCGGCCGGCGCGCGCCCCCGUCCGCAGACGCUUCCCUGUCCGCGGGCCCGCCUGGCUCCCGGCGGCGGCGCGGGCUGCAGGGGCUCGCGGCGGGCAGCGGCGCCCGCCCCUCCGGCUCCGGGUCCAACCCUGCCUUCAGCCCCGGGCGCCACGGGGCGUCCCCGCCGCCGGCACUCCGCUGGGCGCUGGGGGCUCGUCUGCCGACGCCCCGGUUAGGGACGCAGCCUGCAGGUCGGGGCUCGUCCUCCACGUCCUCCGGGCCCGGACACGCCGGCCGCGGCCGUGGGGCGGGCGAGCGCGGAGCAAGGCGCUCCCGGCGGAGGCAGCGCGCGGCCCGGGUGCCCGGGGCAUCCCCGCGGCGGGGGGGCGGGGGGCGGAAGGCCGGCGGGGCGGGCGGCAGGAAGGGUCGGCGGCGCCCGAGCUCCGCCCCUCCGGCCGCCAGCCCGCGGGCCCGCACGGUGAGUGGCAGCGGCCGGGGGGCGGCGCCAGCGGAGGGGGCGGGGCCGCGCGCGCUGAUUGGCGGCGGGGGCCGGGGGCGGGGCCGGCGGCGGGGCGGGGGCGGCGGCGGGGCGGGGCCGGGGCGGGCCGGGGGCGGGGCGGGCCGCGGGCGCUGGAGCUGCGGGCGGACAGGCGGGCGGACGGGCUGGCGGCUCGGGCCGCUGCAGCGGAGUCGGAGGAGGCGGCGGGCGCGGCGAGCGCGGCGGGCUAGCGGGUCGGAGGCGCCGCGCUCGGACCGGGGACGGCGAGCGGGUCGGGGCCGGGUCAGAGGCGCGUCGGAGGCCGCCGCCGCUGCAGCCCGGGCCCCCGCGGAGGAAGGAAGCCGGCCGGCGGGGGAGGUAGGCGGCGGCGGCGGGUCCGGGUGUGUGUGCGCCCGGGAGGGGGAGGCCGUGCGUGCGCGCGGCGGCGGCCGCUCUCUUCCUGUCACCAGCCGCCGCCGCUGCAGAGCCGAGCCGGGAGGGAAGCGGGCCGCCGGCCUCACGGGUUCGCGGCCCGGCCCUGCGUGCUCCGGCCGCCCCCGAGCUCCCGAGUCCCGGGCCCUGUUCGGCGCUGGCCCUGCACGCCGCCGGGCUCCGAGCGCCCCGAGUUGCGGGCGCUGCGGGGCCCGUCCGCACCCCUCCGCUCCCGCGCACUUGGGAGGAUCCUUACGGUCGCCGGCUGCGGUUUUCCGGGGUCCUUCACCGAGGAGAGCGCGCAGCCCGUUGCCCUGGAGUUAG
rnacentral:lncRNA from 1 species